UUUCAUGGUGGUCAUGCGCGGGCAGACUUCGGUCUGGCCGGGGCUCCUUGCUCGCUCGGUUUCUCACCCCGCGUAUGACCGCCACCCAA
rfam:Pseudomonas cremoricolorata strain ND07, complete genome.